AUCAGCCCUUGAGGGAACUGACAAAGGAAAAAUAGCCAACCAUGCUCUGGUAAAGAUAGCAGCCGUCUCCAACCCUGAAAUCGCCUUCCCUGGCGAGAGGACUGGGCAGUGGCUUGAGAUCAUACAGCGAUUGUGCAUUCAUGACAACCGUGAAAUUCAGCACAGAGGUCUUGUGACAGUGUUUAAUAUGCUGGAUGCUGAUGAACAACUAGCCAAGAAGCUCAUUGAAUGUGAACUGCUGAAAAUCAUGACAUAUGUGGCAAAACUAGAGGACAACCCCAAGAAGCAGGAUGCUAUUAAUGCUGCCCGCGCCUGUCUGUCUAGAGCCAUGGAUAGUGGACUCAUCAAACCAUUUUCAAAUUAAACAGAAAACAAUUCAUUGUGACUUAUGAUUAGAGGCGAAUAGAGAACGAUCUGCUUUCUGGGAAAGUGGAAAGACUGCAAACCAUUUGCAAUAUGUUUUAUUUUUCUACUGAUAAGCAUAGUUCUUUUUAAUAGAUGAUAUGUUUGUGUGGAUGUGGAAUUUGUUAUUUAUUUUACGUGCUCAUUUCAUAUUUUAUAUGCACUUGUGAAGUUUUGAUUCACAGAUAAAAAUCUUUUUUGGAGAAGAUGAAUGGAAUCAAUUUCUUCAUAAUGAUAUUACCACAAUUACCCUUUUUAAUUUAUUUGUGCAAGUAAACCAAUAAAAAUUUACAAUUGAACAGUUUAUUGAACCUUAUUAAAAUAUUGCAAAAAUAAAAA